CCUUUUGGCCGCAGAGCCUUCCCUGCCGCCGCCGCCGCCGGAGCGGUGGGACUCCUGUCCGUCGCCAUGACGACACUUCCGGCCGAGGGAGACGAUCAAAAGGCGCGCUCUCCUUCCUGCUCCGGAGAGCGAGGCCCGCGCGUGCGCAGUUGCGAGCGGAGCCGGAGCCCCGUAUUUCCGGGUUGUGGCGAUGGCGGCGGCGGAGGAAGAGCCGGAGUCGGUGCUGUGCGUGAAACCGGAGGUGCACGUGUACCGGGUGCCCCCGCGGGCCUCCAACCGGGGCUACCGGGCGGCCGAGUGGCACCUGGAGCAGCCGGCGUGGAGCGGGCGGAUGCGCGUGACGGCCAAAGGCAGCCUGGCCUUCGUCAAGCUGGAGGACCGGCGCUCAGGAGAGCUCUUCGCCCAGGCGCCCCUGGAGCAGUUCCCCAGCGCUGCCCUGGAGGGCGUCCAGGACUCCAGCCGCUACUUCGUCCUGCGGGUCGAGGACGGCGACGGGCGCAGGGCCUUCGUGGGAGUGGGCUUCGUGGACCGAGGGGACGCCUUCGACUUCAACGUGGCGCUGCAGGACCAUUUCAAGUGGGUCAAGCAGCAGAGGGAGCUGGACAAGGAGGCCCAGGAUCCGCACCAAGGGCCUAAGCUGGACCUGGGCUUCAAAGAAGGGCAGACCAUCAAGCUCAGCAUUGCGGUCUCUCUCGGGCCAGGCGCCGCCGCAAGACUCGGGCUGGGUCCAGUUCUGAGGCAGGCGCAGCCCCCUCAAGGGCCCUCGUUCCCUGGUUUGGACCGAAGAGGCCGCCCUGCCCUUGCCUGUGGCAGCCCCCUUCCGGACCCCUCCCAGCAGACCCUUUUGGGGGUGCUCUGCCUUUUGUGGUGCUCAGGAAAGCAGGCAGGCAGGCCGAAGGGGCAGCAGCAGCAGCAGCAACAGCGGGGCUCUUCCCGCUUCGUCUUGUGCUUCCCUCCCUUUGUGCCUUUUGGGAAGGGCUGCCCCGGCCAGGUCUCCCUCUCUGCCUGCGAGUCUGGGGCCCAAGUGCCUUUUGGGGGGCCCUGCUCCUCCUCCUCCCGGGAAGAGGAGGCUGCUGGGGGCCCCUCUUUCUCCCGGCGCCGCUCCCUGGCUUUUGUAUUUUGUGUUGUCCUGAUUAAACUUUGCCUUGGAAACCAGCUCCGGAGCCUCCGCGCUUUCAUUCACCCGGGAGGAGGGAGGGAGGGAGGGAGGCGGGAUCCCCGGCUGGAGCGCCGCCUACUCCGGCGAAGAGGAGGAGGACGCGGAGCCCCGCCCGGCCUCCCUCCAGCCACCGAGGGGCGUCCUAGCAACCGGGGAAGAGGCAGCCAGACAGCCGGGGAAGAGGAGGAGAGGGAGGCAGCCGGGGCCCCUCUUUCCUGGCGGCGGGACCGGCUUCGGAGGCUCCCCGGGGGAGAGGGAGGGAGGGAGGGGUCUCCGGUGGGGGAGGGUCCCGGGGUGGCCCCGCCCACUCCCCGUCCCCUUCCGGCGAGCGAUCGGACCUGGAGCGGGAAAAGCCUCCGCCGAGGAGCGGAGCCCCGGAGCCCCCCUCGGAGGCCCUCGCCCAGGUCCCUCGGCCGGCCUCUCCCUCCUCCGAGGGCCAGUCCUCCCUCCCUCGGGGCCCCUGGCUCAGAGGCGCCCUCCUGCUGCUGCUGCCGCCGCCGGGGCCGAUCUCUCUGCCUUCUGCCGAGUGGGUCCCUCUGGAGGCGGUUUGGGGGGGCGCAGGACAGGCCCCUCCGCUGCCCCUCUCAGGCGCCCCCUUGCCUUGCCUCGCCUUGCCUCCCCUGCAGGCGCUGGAGGAAGGGAAGGGCCUCCUCUCCCUCGGGGGACCCCAAGGCCUAGGGCACCCCUCCGCUGCCCAGCUCCCCGCCCGCAUCCGGGAGAUCGUGGCCAGGAACCUGUUGGGGUCCGGCUGCCCAGGGCCCUCUCCGCGGGGCAAGAUGGCCUCCCUGCUGUCGGUCCAGGAGGAGAACCGCAUCCUGCAGCAGGAGCUUUCCCGGGUGGAGGACCUGCUGGCCCAGAGCCGGGCCGAGCGCGACGAACUGGCCAUCAAGUAC